AUGGACCAUUCCAUCCCUUAUUCCCGUGGCUAUGAAUCGGAUUCGGAUGACGAAGGUCCCGAUGAACAAGUUGAUGAGGAGGGGUUCACGGCGAAGGAGGUCGAAGGUUUCGAGAAGGUAUUCGGUCGGGAUCAUCGGACUACAUUGUUCAAGGAUGUUAGUCUCACAGAUGAAGCCAUGGUAGAUGGUGGCCAAGGUAUAUCUCUUGGGGUUAGGCCAAGCUCUCACCGUGAUUUGAAUGAUGGCAAGAAUGGGAUUGCUAAAGGGUCUAAGUUCCAAACCUUGUUGGAGUUGAAGAUGUGGCUCGACAACUACUCGGUUACGCAUUAUCGUCCAAACAAGGUGGUGCACUCGGACAUCAAUGUGCGCUAG
rnacentral:rRNA from 1 species